rnacentral:RNase_P_RNA from 1 species
ACAGUUAGCCGGUUUGUCGCUUGCCUGUUAGGGUAAGAGGAAAGUCCGGGCAACACAGAGCAUCCUGCUUCCUAACGGGAAGGUAUCCGCGAGGGUAGAGUAGCGUAGAAGAAAAGAACCGCCGGGGUUCUCCGGAAAACCGGUAAGGGUGAGAAGGUAGGGUAAGAGCCUACCGCCGGCAUGGUGACAUGGCGGGCUGUGCGUCUCGGGAGUUGUAAGGUCAUGUAUACCGGCAUUAUGAGGGCUGCUCGCUCGACGCCGGAGGGUAGACUGCUAAAGUGGCGUGGCGACAUGUUACGUAGAUAAAUGACAAACGGUCCGGUUGGCAAUAACCGGGCAACAGAACCCGGCUUACAGGCUGACUGUUUCU